AUGCCAAAUACAUCAUCUUAUCUCUUUAAAAAUGGAUUUGUUUGUCUUUGCCAGCUCUUAAUGUGAACUUUGUGGCUGUUAUCUUGUUUUUUACCCAAACAAUCUUUUGGCAAGUCGUUAUUAAAGGGUAUUCCUCCACCUGGCUCCAAGAAACAAAACAAAAAAAUGGAGUAUAUAUAGCCCCCACAACUUUCAAGCAUGAGUGAUAGUCCUUAAUUUGGAAAUAGGUGGUGGCUAUGAGCUUUCCAUAGCCCUCACCACACAGCUUCCUGGUAUACUUGAAGUUCUAGUAGCCUCCCAGAGCACAUUCUCUGCUCAGGCCACAGUUUCUCCCCUCUAACACCACCAUGGUUUCUACACACAUGACUUCCUGCUUGGCUGCCUGGUUUGCCUAUGUGUGUGUUUGUAUGAUGAGUACACCAGCCAGCUGGCCAUAUUUUUCAUCAGGGUGGCUGCAGCUGCAGCAAUUACUGUGUGGGGCGUGGCAGAAGGCAAAAAUUGAUGGGCUUCCUGUUGCAGCAAAGAAUUUCUUCUCUAAGCACUAGGUUGAUCAGCAAAUGUAGGUUUGUGAACUCAGGCCAGGGAGGUCUCCUCAGCAGCAACAGCCUUGAUAACCUCCUGCCAAUUUGAAAAUGGCACCGGAAGUUAUUGUAAAUGAGAAGACGAUCAUGAAGCAUAUGCUGAUGAUGAAUCCUACUAGUACUAGUUCCUGCACUUACAAGCUUGCCAUCUAAAAUUAAACACUGGGAGCAAGCAACAGAAGAAGAAGCCUAAGCUGAAAGAGACAAGUUAGCCAGUUUAAGGAGAACGUAUGCCACUUGGAAAGCUCUCAGAUCCAUAAUUGCCACAGGAUGUGAAGGCAGCUUCAGAAAGGCCCCACCAAUCCAUCAUAAGGUUGCAGCGUGUUUCAUCUAAUGCCUUGGAAUUAUGGGAAUCUUCAUUCGGAUGAGCGCUUGGUCAAAGAGCAGAGCGGGGUCAAUGAAAAAUUAAUUGAAAGCAACCUGUAAGGCUUCCUAUAUGGGAUGACGGCUCCCUCCCCAUUAGGGAGGAUGUCUGUGAUAUAAACAACUCCUUUGUAUUCUUCACAAUAGGUUGGCUACUUAGGAGUGAGUUCGUCUUCCCAAGCUGUCCAGCCACAAAGGAACUGGAAACUGCUGGUACGGAAUGGACAGGCUUUAUUAUUGGAACACAGGAAGACUUUAUCACCCUGCUGGGAUGGUCUAAGGAUGACAGCAGAUGGUGCUGAAUGGGAUGACGA